AAACACUUAAGGAUGAAAUUAAAUCUAGCGCCUUGGGUAUUAAACAAGAGAUUGAGAAUUUAAGUUUACGUUUAAAUCAAAUGGAACACAGACUUGCUGAGAAGGAUGAGACUAAUCAAUUAUUAAAAAAAGGGACAAGCAAUUUUUGAAUCAUAGAAGAUCGUGCCAGAAGACAGAACCUCAGAUUUCGAAAUAUAGAGGAAGAAGUAAAGGAUGAAGAACUAAAAACAUUCUUGGAGGAAUUAUUUGAAAAAUUGGGAGUCCACAUUACAUUAUAUCCAUUCCUAAUGAAUAAAUGGUAUAGACUCCCUAAACCAAGGGGAAUUGCACAAAGUGUCCCAAGGGAUGUAAUAG